rnacentral:lncRNA from 1 species
AUGUAAUGACCAUUGCCUGGAUAUCAUCAUAAUUAUUUGAGGUUCUAUCAAUUGCCCAACAGUAAUUUGUUUACCCACCGUUUGCUAUUUUUCUUGAAAGAAGCUACUAGUGAAACCUACGGCCCCCGGGUCUUAUUUCUCAUAUAUUUGCUUUGCGAUCUACUUUUCCUUUGCAUUUUUAUUCAGAUCUAUUAAACCAAAAAUACAAAAAUUCUUUUUUGCACUUUACUUUAUUUGCGAUCUAUUAUUUCAAUCUAUUAAAUCUUCCUCUCGUCAUCAUGCAAUUUCUGGCAUCGUUACCCGAAAGGGAUUGACAACCCCUUUAACACGUCGGGUUGCGAGUUUUUGUUAUUUGUGUGCAGGAGCUAUUUGCGUUGUGUUGCUUGUUCUGCUACUGGUUCGAUAACCGUGGUUUCAUCACUGAGGGAAAUACCUACCGUCGCUGUGCUGCAUCAUCCCUUCCUCUUUGGGGAAAUACCGACGUAGUCCUAGCCCACAGGAGCUUUCUGGCGCCAUAGUCAGGGAGCAAUCAAAAGGAAUUUCUGGCGCCGUUGCCGAGGAGGAUCUUCAAAAUAACCAGGUUCCUAAUCACAAAUCUCAUCUCCUCGCAAUUUACAUUAUUUGCCAUUUGCCUCUCGUUUUCCUCUCCCCCACUUCACACAAAUUUGUCAUUUUAUUCGCCUCCCUUUUCCGUUCGCCGUUUUCUUGCCGGAUCUGUUUUUGAGUGCAAUCUUGUUGUGUGGUCAUCAUGACUCAAGAGAACACCAAAUUAUGUGAUUUCUCAAAUACCAACAACAAUGAUUUUAUUGGCACUCCGCUUGGUCUUCCCGCCACUAGUGCGGAGACUUGUGAUACUAAUACUGCUUUGCUGAAUCUUGUUAUGAAAGAUUAAUUUUCUGGUACUCCUAAUGAGGAUGUCGCAUCACAUCUUAAUACCUUCAUGGAAUUAUGCGAUAUGCAAAAGAAAAAAGAUGUGGACAAUGAUGUGGUCAACAUGAAAUUAUUUCCGUUUUCUUUGUGUGAUUCUACAAAAAAAUGGUUCUCUUGUUUGCCUCGUAAUACUAUCGAUUCUUGGAAUAAGUGCAAAGAUGCUUUUAUCACUAAGUAUUUUCCGCCCGCAAAAAUUAUUUCCCUUAGAACCCAGAUCAUGAAUUUCAAGCAACUUGAACAUGAGCAUGCUGCACAAUCUUGGGAAAGGAUGAAAAUGAUGCUAAGGAAUUGCCCAACUCAUGGGUUAAAUCUUUGGGUGAUCAUACAAAAAAAUUAUGCAGGGUUGAAUUUUGUCUCUCGUAAUCUUUUAGAUUCCACCGCAGGUGGAACUUUUAUGGAAAUUACUUUAGGUGAAGCCACCAAAUUGCUUGAUAAUAUCAUGGCAAAUUAUUCACAAUGGCAUACCGAAAGAGCUCCUAGUAGUAAAAAAGUUAAUUCGGUUGAAGGAAUUUCUUCUUUGAGUGAUAAAGUUGAUGCUCUUAUGAAAUUGGUUGCUAGUAAAAUUGCUCCUGUUGAUUUUAAUGAUACGCCUUUGUCUACUUUGAUUGAGCAAAGUAGUGAUGCCAUAGAUGUGAAUUUUAUCUCUCGAAAUAAUUUCAACAACAAUGCUUAUAGAGGUAAUUUUAAUCCUAGGCUUUUUCCUAGUAAUCCCUCUAAUAAUUAUGGUAAUUCCUAUGGGAAUCAACCUUACAAUAAUAAUAGCAAUACCUCUAAUCUUGAGAAUAAUAUUAAAGAAUUUAUCAACACGCAAAAAGUUUUCAACACUUUCAUAGAAGAAAAAUUGAAUAAGAUUGAUGAUUUGUCUAGAAGUGUUGAUAGAAUUGCUCAUGAUGUGGAAAAUCUCAAAUUGAAAAUUUUUGUGCCUAAAGUUGAUGAAUCAAUUAAAGCUAUUUAUGUUUCUAUGGAUGAAAGUAAGAAAAGAAACGCUAUGCUUAGAGCUAAAAGAGAAUUUUUAGAGAAAGCUUUUUCUAGUGAUUAUUCUUGCAAAAGUGAUGAAGAUCUUAAAAUGAUUGGUGUUUAUUCUAUUGAUUCCUUGUUUAGUAAAGUUAAUAUUGAUGAAAAAGGGACUGGAGAAGAGUCAACUUUAGGUAGAAGGCAUCCCAAUAUUUUGGAGGGUGAAAAUCUUGUUGAGAAAAUUUAUGAAAGUGGGUUUGGAGAGGUCAAAACUUUAGCUAGUGAUGCACCCACUCUUUUGGAUUACAAAGACUUUAAUUAUGAUAGUUGCUCUUUGAUUGAUUGUAUUUCUUUGUUGCAAUCCAUGCUAAAUUCACCCCAUGCUUAUGAACAAAACAAAGCUUUUACUAAACAUAUUGUUGACGCUAUGAUGAAAGCUUUGGAAGAAAAGUUGGAAUUAGAAGUUUCAAUUCCUAGAAAAUUUCAUGAUGAAUGGGAACCUACUAUAAAAUUCAAGAUUAAAAAUUAUGAGUGUUUUGCUUUGUGUGACUUGGGUGCUAGUGUUUCCACAAUUCCGAAAUCUUUAGGUGAUGUGCUUGGUCUUACUAAUCUUGAAGAAUGUUCUUUGAAUUUGCACCUGGCGGAUUCUAAUAUUAAAAAGCCUAUGGGAAGAAUUAAUGAUGUUCUUAUUAUUGCAAAUAGGAACUAUGUUCCCAUAGAUUUUAUUGUUCUUGAUUUGAUUGCAAUCCGUCUUGUCCAAAUAUUCUUGGUAGACCGUUUUUACGCACUAUCGGUGUCGUGAUUGAUAUGAAAGAAGGCAAUAUUAAGUUCCAAUUUCCUUUGAGAAAGGGUUUGCAACACUUUCCUAGAACAAAAAUCAGGCCACCUUAUGAAUCAAUCAUGAGGGCAUCUUAUGUAUCUCGAACCAAAGAUGACAAAACUUAGAUCCUUGCUUUAUGCCUAGCUAAGGGCGUAAAACUAUAGCGCUUGUUGGGAGGCAACCCAAUGAAUAAAAUUUAUUUUUGCUUUUUGCUUUCUAUUAUUGUGUGUUUGCACAAUUAUUCUACUGGUAUGAUUGUGUUUUUUGUGUUUUAAUUAGUGUUUGUGCCAAGUAAAGCCUAUAGGAUCUUCUUGGAUGAUAGUUGUUUGAUCUUGCUGAAAAACAGAAACUUAUGCAGUCACGAAAACAAUUGUUAAAAAUCACCAGCACGUGAUAAAAUACCAAUUCUUUUUGCAGUAGAUCAGUAUACAAAUUACCCUGGUCUUCCUAUUUUUUCAGAAUUUUUGGAGUUACAGAAGUAUUCGAAAGUGUCAAAUUGCUACAGAUUGUUCUGUUUUGACAGAUGCUGUUUUCUUUGUGUUGUGUGCUUAUUUUGAUGGCUCUAUGGUUUUCUUUGAUGAGUUUUUGCCAUAGAAACAUUGGAAUACAGUAGAUAUAAUACAAAAACAAAAUAUGAAUUGGUUUGAUAUAGUACUUAUAGUAGUGGUUUGCUUUCUUUUACUAACGGAUCUCACGAAGGUUUUGUUGAGUUUUGUGUGAUUGAAGUUUUCAAGUUUUGGGUUAUCUUACGAUGGAUGAAAGAAGGAUAGAAGAGCCUAAGCUUGGGGAUGCCCCGGCAUCCCAAGCUUUGAUCCAAAAAUGAGCAACCACCUAAGCUUGGGGAUGCCCCCGAGUGGCAUCCCCUCUUUCUUCUAACGACUAUCGGUAUUUUACUCGAAUCUAUAUUUUUAUUCGUCACAUGAUAUGUUUUGCUUGGAGCGUCUUGUAUGAUAUGAGUCUUUUCUUGUUUUAUUUUGUGUUUUAAGUCAUCAAUCCUUGCUGAACACACCUAUUUGAGAGAGCCAAAAUUAUAUCAUGAUUUGUUAUAAUUGCUCUCUGUGCUUCACUUAAAUCUUUUAUGAGCUAGGACUUGCUCUAGUGCUUCACUUAUAUCUUUUUGAGCACGGUGUGCUUUGUUAUUUUUUAAGGAAUGCUUUCUUGAUUCACUUUGAUUUAUUUGAGAGUUAGUAUUUUUUUUAAAAGAAAUUCUCUCUUGCUUCACUUAAAUUAUUUUGAGAGAAAGAAAAAUUUUAUGCUCAUGAUCUACACUUAUAUUUGUUUGAGCUUAUGAAAAGCAACACAUGAAAAUUAGUCCCAAAGUGAUAGAUAUCCAAGAAGGAUAAAGUAAAAAUGUCAUGAAGAUCAUUGGACAAAAUAAACUUGAUCCUUAGUAAUAGUUUUGAGAUAUGAUGAUGUGAUAUGUGAGUUGUGUUGAUAAGUAAUUAUGCUUUAGUAAGAAUAUUGGUGUUAAGGUUUGUGAUUCCCUAUGCAUGCACGAAAGUCAAUAGUCAUGCAAUGAAAUUAUAUCCUACUUGUGGUGUAUUAUUCGGUGUUAAUUAUGCUUAAUACUUGCUUAUGUGAUUAUUCGUUUCUUGGUUGGUCGCUUCCCAAUCUUUUGCUAGCCUUCAUUUUGCACCAAGUAUGACCUCUACUUGUGCAACCAAAAUCCUUUAAACCAGUUUUUCCAUAUGAGUCCACUAUACCUACCUAUAUGCGGUAUUCUUUUGCCGUUCUAAGCAAAUUUGUAUGUGCCAUCUCUAAUUUUCAAAAUAAACUUCUCUUUUGUGUGUUUGUUUCGCUCGCGGAACGGUAACGGGUGGCUAAUAUUUUCCAUGCUGGAUGUAUUAUUCUCACGAUAAGUGUUUAUCCACUUGUCAUUGCACGAGAGUAAGGCAAAGGUUUUAGGGAUGCCCAGUCCCGAAAUGCAAAAAUGAAUUUACUUUAUUUUAUCAAAUAAUAAAUUCCUUGGAAAGUGUUGGUAUGGAGGGAAACCGUGGAUACGGCUAGCCAUGGAAAGUGAAAGAAUGGUGGAAAAAGGAAUAAACUUUAUUUUCUGUUUGGGAACCGCCUAUGGCAUAUCUAGCAUGGAAAGUGUUCGGAACUCUGAGUCGUUUUCGUUGGUGGGAUGGAUACACCUCCCAAAAUGUUUUUAUCUCUAUUUUUUCGCUUUGAGCUCUGGCACCUCUACAAAUCCCUACUUCCCUCUGCGAAGGGCUUUUCUUUUACUUUAUGCAAUUUUUAUUUUUGAAUUUGAGUCUCCAUCUUCUCUUACAAAAGCACCAACUAAGAGGCAAUAUGAUCAUGCUUAAGUAUUGGGUGUAGCUAAUAUUCAUGUGUGUUUCAUGAAUGGAUCAAUGUUUGAGCAUGAUGGGCUAGGGAUAACUUAUUUUAGCGUUGAUAUUCUGAAAGACAUGGUUGCUUGUUGAUAUGCUUGAGUAUCUAAAUUAUUAUGUCAAAACUAGACUAUUGCUUUGAAUCACAUAAAAGUCCAAAUGUCCAUGAUAUAAAGAAAAGAAUAUGAUAUGACAUGAUAAACAUCACUCCACAUCAAAAUUUUUGUUUUUAUCACUUACCUACUCGAGGACGAGUAGGAGUUAAGCUUGGGGAUGCUGAUACGUCUCCAACGUAUCUAUAAUUUUUGAUUGUUCCAUACUGUUUUAUUAUCAAUCUUGGAUGUUUUAUAAUCAUUUUAUAGUCAUUUUAUAUCAUUUUUUGGUACUAACCUAUUGACAUAGUGCCAAGUGCCAGUUGUUGUUUUUUGCAUUUUUUUACAUCACAGGAAAUCAAUAUCAGACGGAGUCCAAAUGCCACGAAACUUCACGGAGAAUUUUUAUGGGCCAGAAGGAACACAACGGGCCCUGGUUGCACCUAGGGGGAGUCCCGAGGAGGGGACAACCCACCAGGGCGCGCCAGGAGGCCCAGGCGCACCCUGGUGGGUUGUGCCCACCUCGGGUGCCCCCCGGACCGCCUCUUUUCUCUAUAAAUACCCCAAUAUUCCAGAAACCCUCACUACAAAAAAAAAGACACAUCCGUGACAUUUUGGGCCGAACGAAUUUUUUUCUGUCAUACAUAUGACACUUCUAUGACGAUAAUUGUGACAAAAACCGGUAUCAUCAUAGAUGUGGUGGGCUCCUACUUCUAUGACAAAAAAUCAUGACACAAAAUGGGCUUUUCGUCCUGGGCGGGCUGGAGACGCAGCUGCAUGACAUUCUUUGGGCCGUCCAUGACGGAAAAAACUGUGGCAGAAGCGAGGGCCAGGAAAAUUUCAGGGAGUUCCCGGUUAUGGUGGGAGGUCGGGGGCCGAGCGAUGCGCGUUUCUCUCAUACACGUAUGCGCGUGUGUGCGAGGCGUUGGCUCUAACUGAACCUGAGCGAGGCGUUGGGCUCUAACUGAACCCGAGUGAUUGCACUGCAGGCUACGCGUUACUGAACCUGAGCGAUCGAUCGAUGGCCGUUAACUGAACCCGAUCGAGCGAUUCCUUCGCUACUGCUGCUAACUGAAGCCGAACGAUGCUGCCUCUGGAUGAACAGUGAGCGUUGCUGGGGGGUUUGGAUGAACAGUUCCCGGUGGGGGUGGAUGAACAGCACCCCGUGGUGUUGCCUCUGGAUGAACAGGACCCCGAUCGAUCGAGCCGGUUGGGGCUGGAUGAACAGGACCCUGUGGAGGGCAGGACGAACAGGACCACCCCAUGGAGGGCAGAAUGAACAGUAGACGGUGGAGGGCUGGAUGAAAAGUAGCCCGUGGAGGGGUGGUUGAACAGGAGCCCGUGGAGAGGGCUGGUUGAACAGUAGCCGGUGGAGUAGCGCGUGGUGGAGGCUAGAUGAACAGGAGCCCGUGGAUGAACAGUCGCAGGUGGAGGCUGGAGGAGGUCGACGGUGGAUGAACAGUAGCCCGUGGAGGCGGGAGGGGGUCGACGGUGGAGAUGAACAGCGUCCCGUGGAGUCCCGUUUUGCGGUACGCCACACCCCUCCCGAUGAACAGGACCCCCGUUUCGACCGUAGCGCUCCAACACAAGUCCGUUUCCUCCGUUUUGCGGUACGCCACACCCCUCCCGAUCAACAGGACCCCCGUUUCGACCGUAGGAGGUCCGUUUCCUCCAUUUUGCGGUACGCCAGACCCCUCCCGAUGAACAGGAUCCCAUUUCAAACGUGGCCGGUCGAACACAAGGCCAUUUCCUCCGUUCUGCGGUACGCCAGUCCUCGUUUCCAUCGGCUGUUCCGUCCAAGCCCUCCCGAUGAACACGACGACACAUUCCGUUCCGACCCAGCCAAUUGGCUCCCCAUGAAGACGACGACGACGAUGUUUCUCCGUUCCGACCCAGCCAUGAACACAAGCCCUGGCCGUACGUAUGCGCGAGUAGGCGUUCGAGACCCUGCCCGUAUGUACAUAUGUGGCCGUAUUUUCUUUCUUGCAAACUGGCUGAUGUACGUACGUGUACAUGCUACGUGCGCGCCUCUACUACGACAUGUGCGCGCCUCUACAUCGACCAGUAUGUACGUACACGUUCGCGACCAGAAUGACAAUGCUACGUACGCUUCGACCAGGUGGGUCCUGACUGUCAAGCACUUCCUUGCCUGCGAAGAUGUAGCUGGUGGGUCCCAGCAGUCAGGGGGCAAAUUGUUUUUUUUUCGAACGCACUUCCUUGCGUGCGAAGAUGUAGCUGGUGGGUCCCAGCAGUCAGGGGGAAACAUUUUUUCGCGAAAUACAGUGGCCCGUCCGGUGGGUCCCAGCUAUCAGGUGGAGGAAUCAUUAUUUUCCGCGUAAUAAGGAGGCACUUCCUUGCUGCGGUCGUGGACCCAGCUGUCAGCCUCUCCACGUACAGUCCAUGUCCAAUGGAAGUCAUUCCUUGACCAUGUUGACCACGCCGCACCGAGAGCACCAGGGCGGUGGACGACGGCGAGGCCUAGGAAGGGGACAACGGGGAGGCGGGGAAGACGCGGCAGUGGAAGCCCGCGCGGAGAGGAGUACAAGGGUUCACUGGUUCGGCUGCGGUGUGAGGCUGCCGUCGCCGCAGGGCCUUGCCAGCGGUGGGAAUAGUAGGGGCGGUGAGGCCUCCGCGGCAGCACAGCCGGCCACGGGAGGCAGGAGCAUGCGGCACGACCGGCGCUGCUUUGGGCGACUUGAGCAAGAAGACCAGAGGUUGGAGAAGCACUACGGUCGUUGGAUGGACAUCGUACGGUCACUCGAGCUAGAAUCGUUCAUAUUGACUAAAGUUGACAAAGGCCCCCGUCCCAAUCAACUUAGUAGGCCCACAAGUCAGCCUCCCACCAUGGUGGGUCACAGCUAGCAGGGGGAGUAUUCAUUUUUUUGUGCGUAAUAAGGAGGCACUUCCUUGCGUGCGAAGAUAUAGCUGGUGGGUCCGAGCUGUCAGCGGUGGUAAUGUUUUUUUCGCAAAAUACAGAGGCCCUUUCGGUGGGUCCCUGAUGUCAGGUGGAGGAAUCAUUAUUUUGCGCGUAAUAAGGAGGCAGUUCCUUACGUGCGGCCGUGGACCCAGCUGUCGGCCUCUCCACGUACAGUCCAAUUCAGAUGCAUGUCGGUCGUUGACCACGUUGACUAGGCCGCGCCGAGAGCACCAGGGCGGUGGACGACGAUGAGGCCUAGGAAGGGAACGACACGGAGGCAGGGAAGACUCGGCAGUUGUUUCCCAUGCGGAGGGGAGUAUGACUGUACGAGGGUUUAUUGGUUCGUCUGCCGUCGCCGGAGAAUAACAGCAGGUGUGGGUGAGUAGAGGGAUGGCUAGGCCAGCGAUGGGAGUAUGGUGGGGCGGUGAGGCCUGCGCGGCAGCAGAGCCGGCCGCGGGGAGGAGGGAGCAGGCAGUCCCGCCGACGCUUGUUUGAGCGGCUGGAGCAGGAAGAGCAAAGAUUCAAGAAGCACGACGGCCGUUGGAUGGCCAUCCAACAGUCAGUGCUUGUGCGUCAACAUUUUUUUAGGAAAGCCUCAAAUCUGUGGAAAACAGCAUACAGCCCAUCUGCCAUUAUUUCUAAUAAUUUACAACCCAUUUGCUAAUUAUUAAGGUUUUUUUUGGAGCCCAUAUUCUUUUUGUUACCAUUACAGCCCAUAUUGUGGCCACGGUUAAAAAAUUAUACGAAAUUUUGCAUAUUUUCGUGCGGUCCGAACUGUUUUUAAUCCCGAAAUUUUGACUCGCAUUCAAACUGAUUUUAAAAAUAAAUGUAUAUCAAUAUAAAAUCCAACAAAUUCUCCACGCAUAAAAAUUAAUGUAAUUUAAAAUUUCGAAAUGAAAAAAAGAUAUUUGAAACUAAUUGCCGGUUUGAUGUGUUUUAAAAAUGUACAACCCAUUUCUCAUUACUGAUGGGCCAUUUUCUCGGCCAGUCGAAUGAAAGCUCUCCUCGUCUUGGAAGAUUUGCAGGCCAACAGGCCUGACAAAGCGACUUACUUGGCAAAUCACAAAAAAACUGGGUUGUGGCUGUGGACCCAGCUGUCAGCCUCUCCACGUACAGUACUCUUCCGAUGGAAGUUGUUCCUUGACCACGUUGACCACGCCGCGCGGAGAGCACCACGGCGGUGGACGACGGCGAGGCCUAGGAAGGGGACGACGCGGAGCCGAGGAAGACGCGGCAGUGGAAGCCCGCGCGGAGAGGAGUACGAGGGUUCACUGGUUCGGCUGCGGUGUGAGGCUGCCAUCGCCGCAGGACCUGGCCAGCGGUGGGAAUAGUAGGGGGCGGUAAGGCCUUCGCGGCAGCACAGCCGGCCACGGGAGGCAGGAGCAUGCGGCACGACCGGCGCUGCUUUGGGCAGCUGGAGCAAGAAGACCAGAGGUUGAAGAAGCACUACGGCCAUUGGAUGGACAUCGUACGGUCACUCGAGCUAGAAUCGUUCAUAUUGACUAAAGUUGACAAAGGCCCCCGUCCCAGUAACCUUAGUAGGCCCACAAGUCAGCCUCCCACCAUGGUGGGUCCCAGCUAGCAAGGGGUAUUCAUUUUUUUUGUGCGUAAUAAGGAGGCACUUCCUUGCAUACGAAGAUAUAGCUGGUGGAUCCGAGCUGUCAGUGGCGGUAACGUUUUUUUCGCGAAAUACAGAGGCCAUUUCGGUGGGUCCCUGAUGUCAGGUGGAGGAAUCAUUAUUUUGCGCGUAAUAAGGAGGCAUUUCCUUGCGUGCGGCCGUGGACCCAGCUGUCGGCCUCUCCAUGUACAGUCCACUUCAGAUGCAUGUCGGUCGUUGACCACGUUGACCAGGACGUGCCGAGAGCACCAGGGCUGUGGACGACGGUGAGGCCUAGGAAGGGAACGACACGGAGGCAGGAAAGACUCGGCAGUUGUUUCCCACGCGGAGGGGAGUACGACUGUACGAGGGUUUACCGGUUCGUCUGCGGUCGCUGGAGAAUAACAGCAUGUGUGGCUGAGUAGAGGGAUGGCUAGGCCAGCGAUGGGAGUACGGUGGGGCGGUGAGGCCUGUGCGGUAGCAGAGCCGGCCGCGGGGACGAGGGAGCAGGCAGUCCCGCCGGCGCUUGUUUGAGCGGCUGGAGCAGGAAGAGCAGAGAUUCAAGAAGCACGACGGCCGUUGGAUGGCCAUCCAACAGUCACUGCUUGUGCGUCAACCUUUUUUUUUAGGAAAGCCUCAAAUCUGUGGAAAAUAGCAUACAGCCCAUCUGCCAUUAUUUCUAAUAAUUUACAGCCCAUUUGCUAAUUAUUAAGUUUUUUGGAGCCCAUAUUCUUUCUGUUAGCAUUACAGCCCAUAUUGUGGCCACGGUUAAAAAAUUAUACGAAAUUUUGCAUAUUUCGGUGCGGUCCGAACUGUUUUUAAUCCCGAAAUUUUGACUCACAUUCAAACUGAUUUUAAAAAUAAAUGUAUAUCAAUAUAAAAUCCAACAAAUUCUCCACGCAUAAAAAUUAAUGUAAUUUAAAAUCUCAAAAUGAAAAAAAAAAGAUAUUUGAAACUAAUUGCCGGUUUGAUGUGUUUUAAAAAUGUACAGCCCAUUUCUCAUUACUGAUGGGCCAUUUUCUCGGCUAGCCGAAUGAAAGCUCUCUUCGUCUUGAAAGAUUUGCAGCCCAACAGGCGUGACAAAGCGACUUACUUGGCAAAUCACAAAAAAAACUGGGCUGUGGCCGUGGACCCAGCUGUCAGCCUCUCCACGUACAGUACUCUUCCGAUGGAAGUUGUUCCUUGACCACGUUGACCACGCCGCGCGGAGAGCACCACGGCGGUGGCCGACGGCAAGGCCUAGGAAGGGGACGACGCGGAGCCGGGGAAGACGCGGCAGUGGAAGCCCGCGCGGAGAGGAGUACGAGGGUUCACUGGUUCGGCUGCGGUGUGAGGCUGCCGUCGCCGCAGGGCCUGGCCGGCGGUGGGAAUCGUAGGGGGCGGUGAGGCCUCCGCGGCAGCACAGCCGGCCACGGGAGGCAGGAGCAUGCGGCACGACCGGCGCUGCUUUGGGCGGCUGGAGCAAGAAGACCAGAGGUUGAAGAAGCACUACGGCCGUUGGAUGGACAUCGUAUGGUCACUGGAGCUAUAAUCGUUCAUAUUGACUAAGUUGACAAAGCCCUUCGUCCCCGUCAACUUAGUAGGCCCACAAGUCAGCCUCCCACCAAGGUGGGUCCCAGCUAGCCGGGGGAGUAUUCAUUUUUUGUGCGUAAUAAGGAGGCACUUCCGGUGGGUCCGAGCUGACAGCGGGGGGAGCUUUUUUUCGCGAAAUACGGUGGCCCGUCAGGUGGGUCCCAGCAGUCAGGGGGCAAACGUUUUUUCGCAAAAUACGGUGGCCCGUCCAGUGGGUCCCUGCGGUCAGUUGGAGGAAUCAUUAUUUUCCGCGUAAUAAGGAGGCACUUACUUGCUGCGGCCUUGGACCCAGCUGAGACUCUCCACGUACAGUAUACUUCCGAUGGAAGUCGUUCCUUGACCACGUUGACCUCACUGCGUUCCGUUGCAUGCAUGCGUCCAUGGGCGUGGUGCGUCCCCACUGUCAGCCUCUCACGUACAGUCAUCUUCCGAUGACUCUCAGUUGUUGACCACGUUGACCACACCGUGCCGAGCGCACCCAGACUGGAACGACCCGGAGAUGGGGAAGACGGGGCAUCUUUGCCCAUGUGGGAGAAAAUACUGGGAGAAAACUCAGUUUACAUCGAAAAAGAAAGUGGGAGAAAAUUCAGAGACCUGUUGGGUCCACCUGAGGAGGGGAAUAUGUUGGGAGGAAGGAGAUUCAAAGCACGGCAGCCGAGUGAACUAGUUUUUUUUAUGGACAAGUGAACUAGUUUACAUACAUAAGCAAAUAGCCACUAAAAAAAGCAAUCAAGUUAAUGGGUUCUUAAAAGAAAUAUUUCGGACAAAACAGAUAAUUACGACACAUAGGCUAAUGCAUGAAACACUCAGAUGAUAAAGGUGCUUAUAAACAGAUAAAGUACAACAUCUAGACCUUCCUGGCACGCUUGAUCAUGACGCUGCGGCUGUCCGUGUACUCGUCGGUUACGGGAAGUAGACACGCCCUCAUGUCCAAGAUCUGCCUGCACAUGUCGUAGCAUGCGUAUGCGUCCUUGGCCGCGUAGGUUAUGUAGGCUAGAUUCAGAGGUACCUCCCACGUGUUCAGGUCGUCUUCUUUCAUGUUGGCGUAUCAGGGAUCGAUGAUGGUCUCAGCGAGGUCAACCACGGAGUCCUUCUCCUGCCCGUUGCUGAUGAUCUUGUAUUGCUUCUGGAUGUAGACAAACUUGUUGCACCAGAUGGCCGAAUCGUCGCGUUCUUCCUUCUCUCCACCGUAGCGAAGGUGCAGUCGGCGCUGCCGAUGAAACGGGCGAAUGCUCCAGAACCUGGUGCAGCCAUAGGACCGAGGUGAGGCAGAGCUUCACCAAGUCCGUAUCGUUGGUGUACAUCACAUUCAACUUGGUGCAGCCAUAGGACUGAACGGCGAACUCAAAGGGGAACUCCUUGCUGAAGUCCAUAUCCAGCAGGCUCACCCCUCGGAUCGCCAUUGGAGUCACUUCGAGUGAACGAGUGUGUAGGCGGCGGCAGUUCGUUUUUGAGCUCUUGGGGAACUGGAUUCAACAGUAAGCUGAGUGUGUACAGGCGACAACAGUUACUACCACUCCCUCGUCUGCUGCACGCCCGGCAGUAGAUGCACCCUCGGCCACACGUCGGUUCACGAGCGGGUCUGUAUUGGUACUGUAAUAACAGGAGUUAGUGGUCACUUUACUUAAAUUUAAUUAGCUUUAAUAGAAAUUUAUACUUAAAACAAGCAAUGCAUUCGCUCGUUCUAUCAGUGCCACAGGAUCAACAUGCACAACAAUUAGAAUUAUUAUUCUCAGGACGCUCACGAUCAGCACAUUUGUCGCACUUUCACAAAGAUAAUACUACCAAGUUUGAACUGUUUGUUAUGGUUGUUGUCCUCUGCAUCAUCAUGCCGUGUUUCCCAACUUGCAAGAUUCAGAACCAACAAAUAAGAUCCAAAUAAUAAGUACAACAAAGAUGCCUACACAUCUCAUUGAUUCCUAGCUUGCAAGAUUCAGAACCAACAAAUAAGAUCCAAAUAAUAAGUACAACAAAGAUGCCUACACAUCUCAUUGAUUCCCAGCUUGCAAGAUUCAGAACCAACAAAUAAGAUUCAAAUAAUAAGUACAACAAAGAUGCCUACACAUCUCACUGAUUCCCAGCUUGCAAGAUUCAGAACCAACCCAUUAGAGCCUUUUGAUAAAGUGAAUAUCGGGAUUAAAUCCAUCUUGGCUAGCCAUGUCAUACAAUCGAAGAACUUGGCGAAUGCUCUUGACCGUCACAACAUCUGUAGUUGAGUAUUCCUGUUUGCACAGCGCAGAUAAUAAAGAGCAUGAUUACUAUAAUAGUGGCACUAGUGGAAGUCAACCUGCAGCUCCACCCGAUGAUUCAAUUCAUGCCACUUUUUCUGCAGUUCGCCUGAAAUAAAGCAAAGAUUGCAUCAUUCAGCUACGGCUCAUCUUGCAAAGGCUAAUAAAAUGUUGCACGAGAUUACCAGCAGAAUUUGACGGAGAUUUUGGAAACUCCAAUCACCAUUUUGUGCAGUUCCACCAAAAUUGAGAGAUGUUUCCCAUGUAACAUUUUAGUUGAACUGCACAAGACACUCAUUCCAAAAAAGUGUUUUGUGUAGUUCACCAAAAGGUCACAAUAGCAACAAGGUGAAAUGGAUAUCCCUAUCUGCACAAAAAGAUAGAAAGUAAAACAGUUGCUGGUCAAUAAGAAUAUACGAAACAUAUACAAAAUGAAAAGAAGCAUCUUAAUUAUGUUCAUGGCAAUCAUGCAAGGACAGUAGAAAUUUUAAAACAUCAGCAAUGUUUCAUGUUACCAGAAGCAUUACGAUCAACAAUGAGAUUCCUCAAAUAUGGGAUUACUUUAAUGGUGGCAUUGCUUGUUUACUAGACACAGUAAAUCAACAGCAGCUAAAGAGUUGGUUUAAGGGCAUGGGACCGUGGGGACACUAGGACACUCAGCAGCGUAAAGGAGCAACUUACUUAUCAUACUGGGGAAAAUAGCAGGAGUGCCAUUUGUAACACAAUUUAAUUGCAUCUUAUCACUGGAGGCAUUAGAUUAACAAUAACACUGGUUAGACAUGUCCCUAAGGUAACAGUGUGAUCGCUUCAUUUUACAUGCGCCCUUACAUUAACAACAGCAAAAGGUUGGUAUAAGGACAUGCGACAGUGGACGCAUCAGCACAAUGUACCUACAAGGAGGCAUAAAGUGGUGAUGCCGAGUUUGUUCAUGCUAUGUGAGGGUAGCAAACCUAAUCCUGGAGACCUUGUACUAUGUGAGGGCAGCAAAUCUAAUCCUGGAGACCUUUUACUAUGUGAGGGCAGCAAAUCUAAUCCUGGAGACCUUUUACUAUGUGAGGGCAGCAAAUCUAAUCCUGAGACCUUUUACUAUGUGAGCGCAGAAAUCUAAUCCUGAGACCUUUUACUAUGUGAGGGCAGCAAAUCUAAUCCUGGAGACCUUUUACUAUGUGAUGGCAGCAAAUCUAAUCCUGGACAUACUCUGUUGACUUGUCCACCAGCCGCCACUUUCUAUCCUUUUUUCAACCAAUAAUAGAUCUGUUCCUUAUCCAGUUUGUACUGCAUUUUCCCAUUAUUUCCCUUUUCAACCAAGAGACCGGUUGGGUAUCCGGUCUCUACUACUUUCACCAUAUUAUUUCCUCUUUGAAUCAAGUCCUAGAUUCAUGCUACAACUUUCCCCCCUUUCUUCGUUGUUUGAACAAAGCCCUAGAUUCGAAUGCAUGAAGUAGCUUUACCUCUAAUAAUACUAAAAAUUUAGGUGGCUUUGGAAGAGCUGAUGUGAGUAGAAAAAGAUGCACAUGCAGACACGUGGGGAGCUAGGGCAGUAGAGCAAGGCUGCUUUCGAAGAACUUAUACCUGAGGGUCGCCGGGAUGUCGGCGGCGGCAGGUCAGAUCUACGGACAAUACGGCAGGGAGGAAGAACGGUCGGAGGACCUCCCGAGCCGGCGCUGUGUCAGAGAGAAUGGCACGGGCAGAGGAUCAGGCCCCUCCGGCAGCUGUGGGUUUCCUCCCUCGGCGGCGAUGACCGCGUGAACGAUGCACCUUUUAGUCCUCUACACACACCGGCCGAAGGGAUCCGGUCGGAUCUGUGACCAGCGGUGAGCAGAGAGAAAAUGUCGCUACCGCUGUCUUGUUUAUAUCUGGAGAGGAUGAGAGAAUGAAGAGAGCAACCCUAGUAAAGCAAGCGCUCAGGCCCCUGCGUCCAUAUAUAGUGGAGUGAUUAUCUUUUUUCUCUCCACAACAAGCGUUUCAAUUUGUGUACGUGGCAUUAAAGAAAAGAAACUCUCUAUUUAAGGUGACUACUGUACGACUCCUACUUACUACUAGUAGUACUAUAGUAUUGUUCACUUGUGCUCCCUGCCCCUCCAUUCAUUGAACAACCCCACGGGUGAAUAAACAUACAGUAAGUACUGUAUUUAUAUAGAACGAACAAGCUCAAACUAUUUUCGCGUAGUUAAAAGUUGAGGGCGGGGCUUUUCCCGGGCAGUACGCGCGGCAGUUUCGGGUAAGCGGUUUGACAGAGAGGCGAGGAGGGUGAGCGAGUGGGGCUGUGCGAUUUGACGGCGCGUUACUGCUGGAAAGAUUUGUGAUAUGACCACUCACUAUAGUCAUGAAUUACUGGCGCUCCGACCGGGGUGAUGCCCCCCUUCCGUUCCGUGCUCUACUCUGGUGCAUGACACGUCGACCCGGAUGCUAGCUCUCCCACAUGUCGGAGUAGUAAGAAGGAGCAAAGAAUGAUGCAGUAUAUACUAGUACUAUACUAGAGUACUACUCAGGUCGGAGGAGUGCGAACCACGGCAGCCCAGUGAACCAGCAGCGCGAACCACGAUAGCCCACUGAACCAGCAGUAGAAAACAAUGCGGUGAUAUGGCCAUAAAAAACAAUGUGCUACGGUCCACACUGUAGCAUGUACAGUAACACUCCUCUUUGUUUGGAUCCCUGAGUUAGAGCUAGUUUGGGUUGAAAUAGCCUCAAAUUAUCGAAACAAGAGGGGUUAGUUUGAGCUAGUUUGCUCUAACCCAGCUAAAAAAACUAGCCCGGUGGAGAGGUUCUAAUUGGGUUAGUUAUCCUCGGGCCCACUAAAAGAGAACUAAAAAAUCUCCCCUGCCCGCACCAGAUCGCUCCCCCCUCUCGCACGACUCCUCUCUGUUCCCCAUAGGGCCGCUCGCCCUCUCUCUCCUCUGGCCGCCCUCUCCUUCCGGCCUCCGCCGCCCUCUCCCUCCGGCCUUCGAAGGUCGCCCCGCUCCCCCUUCACCAGUCGUUUUUCUCCCUCUGUCGUGCGCGGCGGCGGCGCAUCUACCAGGGAGGUCGCGAGAGGGGUGAGUUUGUUCGUUCCUUCUCUGUCUCAUGGCCAUAUCAUUGAUCUUGCUUGCUCUAGCGCUAAUUCUGAUUUGGAAAAGUAGAUCCUAAUCAAACUUGGUAUAGAUUUGUGGUGCACGCAUGGAAUUGUUUGAUGCUGCUUGAGGAGGUAAUAAAUCUUUCUAGAGGCCCAAAGAUUCAGGUCACCUUUCUAGGUAUUUCAAUUUCAGGCUUGCAUUAUUUCUAGAGGCCCAAAGAUUCAGUUCACCUUUCUAGGUAUUUCAAUUUCAGGCUUGCAUUAUUUCUAGAGGCCCAAAGAUUCAGUUCACCUUUCUAGGUAUUUCAGUUUCAGGCUUGCAUUAUUUCUAGAGGCCCAAAGAUUCAGUUCACCUUUCUAGGUAUUUCAGUUUCAGGCUUGCAUUAUUUCUAGAGGCCCAAAGAUUCAGUUCACCUUUCUAGGUAUUUUAGUUACAGGCUUGCAUUAUUUCUAGAGGCCCAAAGAUUAAGUUCCCAGUCGGCGGCAAGCGGCCCUGCUACCCAUGCUGGUGUCGACCUCAACUCGCAAGGGCUGGCGUCGGAGGGGUUCCCGGGGCUUGGGCUCUACAGAGCCUUCCUCCAGAGCGACGAUGGCGAGCUCCUCCCUCGGUGCGUAAGGGGCUCUGGGCUCCCUCCCUAUCGUGAAUGACUUCCGUGAUGAGUUAGCUCAUUCUUUGUUUCAUGAAGUGUUUUUUUAUUUUGUGAAGCUUGAUUGACGACUUGUAUGUUUAAGUGGGAUAUCGCAUUUGUAUGGACAAAGUAAAAAUUAUCAUGUUUUGCAUGCUUGAUUUGUAUAGAUGGUUCGUUUAUGUCAAUUGUGAGCGGGAGGAGGCCACAGAAGAGUCAGCCACACCAAGAGGGUGCUUGGAUCCAAGGGACUUAUUUUACUCUGACUAAAAAUAGUCUCUUUAAGAGGCUAAAGUUCCAAGCACCCCUGACUAAAGAGGGGCUAAAACUAGUCUUGAGACUAAAAAAAUUUAGUCAGGGGUACCCCUUAUAAAAUGUGGAUUAGUCCUCUCUCUCCUCAUUUAACUCCUCUCCUUUAACACAGACGAGUUCUGGAUUGGAGGGUUUGGAGGAUAAUAAAUUCUCAUUAACUUGAUUUUAGUCUCUUUAGUAUUUGGAUCCAAGCAUGGGUGAGGCUAGCAAGUUUUAGUCCCACUACUUUUAGUCAUGGAACUAAAACGUAUCCAAGAACCCUCCAAAUCCGGCAGGAAAUAGGGUCCAAAGUAGUCAAAUGAUUGAGAUAGAGCAUUUAUUGUCAAUCUAACCCUGCCAUCCAUACACCUCUUUGGUUUAGAGUUAGUUCAGGGUUAGAAUCUAACUCUAACCUCUAACUGAGUUAGAGUUCUCCUCGUCUCGGUUCAUCGCCAUCAUACUUUCCCCAUUCCUGUGUUUUCAGUAUCCUGCGAAUCAAAGAGGCCCUUUUUUUGCGGGAAAAAUCAAAGAGGCCCUUAGAUUGGUUUCGGUCCGGUCAUUUUUUAUAAACGUGUUAUGUCCAAAAUUUAAUGAACGUGCUCCGGUUUCCACGAAAAUAAUCCGGUUUCAUGUAGUAAUUCAUUCAUUUAUUUAUUCUUCUGCGGGGGGUUUGCAUGUAAUUCGUGAGGUCUGAAAUGUAAAGUACCCGGCAUAUGCUCCGAGUCGUGCAUGCACUACGACCCAGAUGCUCUAUGUCCCACAUGUCGGCGAAUGGGAGCACGUGGAAAUAGCCUAGGAAUACAUAUAGGAGGAUAAAUGCGUGAAAUAAUAUGUACUGUGAAGCGUAGCCGCGGUUCGAAAAGGAGACCUAAAGUGAUGACAGCUAUAGGUUGCACGCACCCAACUAGUGGUACUAGACAUACGACUAAUUUUUCCCUCAAAAAAAAAGAGGCACGAGUGCUCAGUACUCCUAUUCUAUAAACACGAGUCCCAUCUGGCAACAGCGUCCGUGCUACAGCUAGCUCUCCUCCCUCGUUUCUCUCUUCUAAUUCUAAACUCGGCCGACGCCCGGUGGGCGGGGUGGGUUUGCUCAACUGCGGCCCCACCUCACAGUGAAAACGUUACGACUGGAAUAAAAAUGUCAUAUACUCCCUCCGUUCAUAAAUAUAAGCCUUUUUAGAUACUAUUUCAAAUGGAAUACAGCAUACAGAUGUAUGUAGACAUAGUUUAGAGUGUAGAUUCACUCAUUUUGCUCCGUAUGUAGUAGUCACUUGCUGGAAUCUUUAGAAAGACUUAUAUUUGGGAACGGAGGGAGUACUAUACUAAUAAAACAUUAAGGCCACGAGGCGAUGUAGUGCUGGUUACAGGAGGCAGGAAGAGAUGCAUCCAUCGACGACGUCCACCUCCUCGACUCAGGGCGCCGGCCCACCGAACGGCGCCUAAGUAGCAGCGGAUUUCGUGGCCAGGUCGACGUGCUUCUGAACAAUGGCGUCCAAAGAUUCCAGCCGCUGGAAGAAGGCCAAUGUCUUUCCGUCCUUGCUUGCCUUGUAGUGGCCUAUGUAGACGAUUUCCUCGUAGACGUGGAUGUGCAGGUCGACGGUUUCUUGCAUGGCGAGGCGCUGCGCGGCGAGCGCGGCCUCGAGGUGCACAUUCUUCAUCGCGACCUCCGGCACCUGCAGGGCCACCAGGGCUUCAAAGAGUUCGUCACCAUGGAGGCCGAUGAGGGUGGCAGGCAAUGAGGAGCCUAGGCGCGCGGGCUGGAGCAGUACGGGCAGGUCGUCCGCGUGCUUCUUGACGGCGGUGAACUUGCGGAUGGAGUUGACCAUCAUGUCGUCCAUGCGAGAGGCGAAGCCGGCGUCGGCGAGGGCUACGAUGCCUGCGGUCGCCAGCACCAUCUGGAAACGCUGCGUGGUGCGGGGCCGCAGGACGGUGCCUUGGAUGAUUUGGCAUAGCUGACUGCCGCUCACGUCCAUCGCCUCCAUAGGUGCUUGUGGCUUCUGGUCACUUGGUCUUGGAUUGGAGUGAGCAGUGUUGCGCAGAGACUUGGGAGUAGAUGGAUUGGAGUGGUGGGGCGCCUUUAUUAUAUGAGAGUCCAAACUGUGUUGCAUUCACAUCGUGCUGGCUCUAUUCUGCUUCUCCAAUUAAUUCCCUCUGCAUGUAAUUGAGGAUGCAUCAUUGACCAUUCAAUGUCUCGGGAACCGCUACCCUCUCCCUCCUUGGCAUUCAAGCACCUAUGGACCCGUCGACGACGAGGUUCCUAUGGUGACUUCGUAAAUUUCAAGAUGAUAGUGCCGUGCGUGUGUGCGUUCAUAGGGGUGAGUGUAUGCGCGUGUAUAUGAGUGCUUGCGUCUGUACUGUGUAAAAAAACGUAAAUGCGUGUCAAAAAGAGACUAGUCAGUAUACUCAAUAUUGUGCACCUCGGAGAGGAAAAUGAUAGAACUAGUACGUAUUUAUUUACGGUGCAGAUUCACUCAUUUUGCUCCAUAUGUACUCCGUCUCGGUGUAGUCUAGUCACUUGUUGAAAUCUCUAGAAGGGCAAAUACUCCUUUCUUUUUUACAGGGCUAUACUAGCAAGUAGUUGUACGUACUAGUACAAUAGUGGGCUCACAUAGCAAUUUUGUCUCAUGCAAGAGCCUGGCUAUAUGCGUGCUCCAAUGUUCGCAACUGCAACGUUCGGUUUGUGCUUGGCUCUUCGCCUCUUCGAGAAGACGAACAAUGAUGUUACUACUACUGCUUCUACAGUGUCGAAUCCACUGCUGCAUGUCCGUCCACCGCGAGCGGGACGGAUAGCUUGUUGUAGAAGUACUACUAAGCAAAAGCAUGUCCUCGUCUGCGAGCAACCGCGCGCAUGGGUGAGGGACAAGGCGUGUAGUAAAAUCAAGCUUCUCCUCGUUGUACGAGUUGACGCGACACAUCAUAGCACUGGCCCCACAUGCUUGCCUCUAAACUUGGCUGAAAGACCCGCAGUGUAUAAUAUAUUUGCUGCAACCUCUAACAUUUACCCACCACAAAUUAAAAUAUAUGUGGCCGUAUGCAUCGUUCUGAUGCAAAGGCCGGGGAGUCCCCCCUUUUCGAAAAAAACAAAUUAAAAUAUAUAUUCCUGUCUUGACCAGAUGAGCGUGCAAACUACAAUCACCAGGGUGUCAGGUAGGGCCAGAAGACUUUUUUUUAAACUUCGAGACGGCCACAUAGCAUGGAGCCGACCCCAACGAUUUUAAGCUUACAGGCACGGUACACGCUAUCCUAGACUACUCUACACAUGAAACUGCCACACGAGCGUCCGGGUUGCGCUUGGCUCUUCGCCUCUUCGGGAAGUCAAACAAUGAUGGAGUACUACUGCACUGGAGGAGUACUACAGUACGCUUCUGGCCAUCUGACACCGAUUGAACUGCUGCAUGUCCACCGCGUGCGGGAGGGAGAGCGUGUAGCGAAAGCUUCUCCUAGUCUUGCCAGCCACCACGCUCAUGGGCGAGGGAGGGACGCUCCUGCCUUUGCGUGUAUGACAGGUGGGCCCGACAGGUGUGUGGCCAACCUGUCAUACAGCCAAAGGCAGGUGCAGUUAAGUCCGCGAGGGAGAGGAUAAUCAAACUUCUCGUUGAUGUACGAGUUGACGCGGCACAUCAAAGCACUGCACUCGAUAUAUUUCAAUAAUUUGCGUUUACCGAUGCAUUAAUUACAAAGCAUGCAUGCAUGCCGUGACUCUCCUUUUGAUACUUGCAUGUGUUGAUUUAAUGCACCUUGAGAUAGUAUAAAAUAUGUGACGUUAAAGCUUUGUAAUACCCCGGCCCAAGUCGAGAGAUGGUUGUGCACGAGGAGGGCGAGAUCAUGCAGACCGAAUAGGACCCGACGAUGGAGCUCUCUAAGGUCUCAAUGGACCUCACCGUGCUCCACUGCCCCUUGUGCCUCCGCCCCUUGACGCCUCCAGUGUAUGAGGUUCGAAUACACCUCGUCCGUUCGGCUGAUUGAGCAAGGUGCAGGUUUCUUGAUUGAUGUGUUGUUUGAUUGAUUUCUGCAGUGCAAGGGAGGGCACCUGGCCUGCGCGGACUGCCGCGUCGAGCACCCCGGGAACCAACGGCAGUGCCAGAAGUGCGAGCGCGGCGGUGGCUUCGACGUGCGGAACACGACGGUGGACUCCGUCCUUUCGUCGGUGAGGGUGGAGUGCCCGCAUGAAGGUUGUGGGCUCUACGUCACUUACCACAAGCUCGCCGAUCACCAGAGCGUGUGUCCGCUCUCGCCCUGCAAAUGCCCCGUUCCCAUCUGCGGCUACGAAGGCCCACCGCCGGCGCUCUACCACCACAUCAGCACCGCGCGUCCCAUGCCCGUGCACAGGAUCCAGUACGGCAAGGUGCUCUAGCUGCAAGUGCCACUGUCGGAGCCACGGCUCUUGCUGUUCGCGGAGGAGGACCGCCGCGCAUUUUUCUUGGUCGGCGGCGUGCUCGACAUCGGCGCGCCUAUCGCCGUGUCGGUCGUCUGCAUCAGAGCGGGGGCGUCCCCACUGCCGCACUACGUGGCCAAGCUGUGGGCGAACGGCCCGCCGGGGGAGCCCAAAGGCACGACCGACGUCGUCAAGGUGGAAAUGGAGGUGACAAGCAGCAAGGAUCCCGGCGACGUCGACGUGCAGCAGCUGACCUUCUUGACAGUUCCGCCCAAGCUGCUGGCCGGGGCUACGCUUGUGUCCCUCCACAUUCAGAUUGACAAGCUCACGUCCUAAAUGUUUCUACAGUGCCUUCUGUUUAUCUUAGUACUAUGCUAAUAUAGGGAUUACCUUGGUCUACUUUAGCUUAAGAAAUGGUGGGUUUUGGUGGCGAUGCAGCAAUUACUUCGACAUCAGAUCAGUAAUUUCCAACAGUCGAACGGAUAUUUUGUGUCUGUUGGAUAUAAAGUUCCUUUGGGUAAGAAGUACUACUUGUCAUCAAAAUGGAUAAAAGGAGAUGUAUGUAGACGUAUUUUAGUUCUAGAUACGUCCCUUUUUAUCCAUUUUGAUGACAAGCACUCCCUCCGUUCCACAAUACAUGCCUUCCAUUUGUCAAAAUAUAGAUGUAUCUAGACAUAUUUUAGUAUAUAGGUACAUCCAUGAUAGAGCCAAUCGGAUGGUGGAGAACACUACAAUUCGUAGCUACAGAUGCGUGUGUGACUCCCAGAUGCAGAGGCCGGGGGUCAUCAUCCUCCUUUUCGAGAAAAAACAGACGCGUGUGUGAGAGCUCGCCACGCGGCUAUUCCUGUCGAACGCCCCAUUAACCGUAAGAUAUGUAUACGACGGUGCCAGUUAUUGCACCUACACAGCAGUACUCCCUCCUUUCCGGUUUAUAGGGCUUAAUUCAAAAAUCUCAGCAACCAAGAUGGUGAGUGGUGGAAUAUUUUUUGUAGUUUGCAAAAGCACCUAAUUAAUGCUCUUGUUUUUCUCAAAAAUUUAUGUUUAUCAAUUAAUUGCAAUGCAUGCAUGCAUAAAGUACAUGCAUUGGUCAAUUUUCUCUUAAUACUUGCAUGCAAUGAUUUAAUGCAUCUUGGAAUCUGAACAUGUGUUGGGGAACAACCAAAUUGAGCCUUAUAAAAUGGAAAAACUAAAAUUUUGAGAUAAGCCCUAUAAAACCGGAAAGGAGGGAGUAGAAAAAGAAGUACUCCAUCCGGGAAUAGUGCCGCACUUCGAAACUAGAACCGUCAAUAAAUUUUGAGCUUGCGUCUCAUCACAUUCCAAAUUACUCCACGCUAUAUUGAAUUGCAAACCUGUUCACACCGAUCACAACCUAAACGGUUUCCCACUUAGGAGUGUAUUAGUACCACGCUAUAUUGAAUUGCAAACCUGUUCACACCGAUCACAACCUAAACGGUUUCCCACUUAGGAGCGUAUUAGUACUCGGUUAUAAAUACUAGUAUGCCAAGAUGACUGCACAUUCCUCCUCAACUCCUCAUCCACAAAAACAAACAAGUCAUUCAGCAUCCUUCCCUUGCGUCUGCCAUGGCCAGCGUGAGUUCUGGGUCGAGAGAUUGCCACCAGGGAGAGGCGAGCAUGGAAGCGGAAGCACGAGAGAUGUCCCGCCUCGCUGCGAGAGCAGCCGACAUGUCCCGCCGCGCGGAAGUAGCAGCACAGAGGUCCCGCCGCGCCGCUGAAGCAGCACGGAGGUCCCGCCGCGCCGUCGAUGCAGCAGACUGGUCCGGCCGCGCCGCGGAAGCAGCAGAGAUGUCCUGCCGCGCCGCGGCGGCCUGGGAAAAUUUCUCGCGGGCAGGCGACGACUGUUAUAGGCACAUGCAUGCGAUCAUCCAUAGCCAGAUGGAUCAGAUCUCCGGCUGGGCGAGGUUGCAGGACGACAUGAAAGCCUCGUUUGAAUAGGCUACCGGCGUCAUCUGGCAACUAAGGGAGGGCAAUGAGAGGCUCCGGGCCGAGCGCGACCUGCUGAGGGAGAAGAUCGUCCGAAGUGCAGACCAGCAGGAGGAGACCAGUGCCUUGUUGAAGAGGACCGGCGUCAUCGUCAAGAAACUUAUGGACGAGAAUGACAUGCUCCGCAACGAGCGCCAAAGGCUGGUGGAGGAAUCCGUGGAUGUUCUCAAUCAGCGUCUUGAGGACACGAAAGAGCUCAUCGCAGCUCGCCGCGGAGACUAGUUCCCGCGGCCUGCAGCAACACAUCAAGAAAGUAGAGAUCAGCGAGCCAGAUCCUUGUCUUCCUUCUUCUUUUGCCCUUGUGUAUUUCGGGCGUAGCCGCAUGUGGCUUUUUUAAUUAUCUUUCUAAUUAUGUAAGACAAUUGAUCGUCCUUAUCUUUAUGUGGAAGAUCAAUGUUGCGAGGCUGGAAUGAAGAAAACUCUUGCUGUGGCGACCCUGGCAUUGCUGUUCUUCUAGUUGCUGUUGGGCUUCCUUUAGUUUCCUGGUUUCUUUUGAUGUAAUAAUCGGUUUAGGAUGUGGAUUGUGUCGUCGGUUGUGAAAUGUUGGGUUCUAGCGCGGAUGUUCGGCCUUUGUUGGCCUCUUGGGAUGUUGCGAUUUCAAUCUGGUAGCUUUUAGUCCUUCGUCUUAGGCUGGAGUUGUGCUGAACUUCUUGUGAAUUGUGGUGGUUUUCAGUAAUGAAAAUCGGAAGGGGCAAGCCCUUCUUUGAUCAAAAAAGAAACUAAUCGUCCUUAUAUAUUCACCAGUCUUGCAAUAAGUCGCAGUAGAUGCUAUAUAGGUCCGUCGGAUCUUACAUCAAGAUCCGUGCUUUCAGAUUUUGUUUUUUCUCUCUUAAAUCUCAGUCAAGUGAGACAUAGCCACGCCAUUAAACAGAGGCUCGGGCGCCAUUAAUGGAGACCUUGGGAGAGAGGUGGACGGUAGAUGGAGGUCAAAGGGCUCUCCUCCCGAUAAGCACGCGCAGGGGUCUGAUCGCACGCCUCUCGUACUCAAAUAGCUACCCCGCACGGCGCCUCCUAGCUAAUAAAAAAUGGGGAUGCGUGGCGGCACGUAAAUGGUACUAGUAAGUAGAACGCCCACGGUUUCAAUAAUACUUGUGUUUCCGAUUGUAACGUGACAGCACUUGUUCCAAAAUGACUUUGUUGAUUGUUAAUGUGUGCGCCUUCGCAAAUCGGACUGCAAAUUUACCACAGCAUAUUGGUGCCAUGUCAUGGCACCAAGCCAAGUUUCAUUACUUUCAUGCGUGUUUUGGAUUUAUAGGAAUUAAAAAACUAAGUUUCUUAAUGUUUCCAACCCAGCCACGACGCCAAGAAUUUUGAAUUUCAUUCCCAUUUCUUGCAUGGAACCUAGAAAUUUACCCGAGGACACACAUGUAAUUUUUCAACCAACUUUGGUGCACUGGAACAUGUGCUUGUAUUUCAAAUUUGAAUUAUGCACACAAAGGUGACACGUUCCCUCCCAGAACCACGAGCCUUCUUGAGAGAAGCUCCGAUUUGCAAGAAGCUUAUACCAAAAUUUGUUCCUAUUCGGCCAAUUUUUUUUACCACGGCAUGGUACUACCAUGACAUGACACCAUGCCAAGUUUCAUGAUUUUAAAACCAAGUUUCUCAAUGUUCUCGACCGAGCCACGACGCCCAGAUGUUUGAAUUUUAUUCUCAUUUUUUGCAUGGGACCUACUCCCUCCUUCCAUCUAUAUAGGGCCUAAUGUGUUUUUCAAGACAGCUUUGACUAUUGACAAGAUUAAUAGCACAUGAGAUGUAUACUAUGAAAAUUAUAUUAUUGGAAGCUCCUUUGACAUACAAAUUUGAAGGUAUGCUUUGUGUAAGUUGCAUGUCAUAUAUUAUUUCUCUAACGUUUGGUCAAAGUUAGCCUCGAAAAACGCAUUAGGACCUAUAUAGAUGGAAGGAGGGAGUAGAAAUUCACCCGAGGACACAAAUGUGAUUUUUCAACCAACUUUGGUGCACGGGAGCAUGUGCUUGUAGUUCAAAUUUGAAUUAUGCACAUUAAAUGACCAAAAACUCAAUUAAUGUGUAAAUAAGGCCAAACGAAGCCGGAAUAAUUCCAAAAUUUAACAGGGCACUCAUGUAGUUCUAUGUUGCCUUUGUAAAUAAACUCAAGGGGGACAACGUAUAUCGUUUCGCACUCAAAGGUGGCAUGUUCCCUCUCAGAACCACGAGCCUUCUUGAGAGAAGCUUCGGUUUGCAAGAAGCUUAUACCAAAAUAUGUUCCUAUUCGGCCAAUUUUUUUACCACAACAUGGUAGUACCAUGACAUGACAUCCAUGCCAAGUUUCAUGAUUUUCAGACGUGUUUUGGAUUUACAAGAAUUUUAAAACCAAGUUUCUCAAUGUUCUCGGCCGAGCCACGAUGCCCAGAUGUUUUAAUUUUAUUCUCAUUUCUUGCAUGGGACCUAGAAAUUCACCCGAAGACACAAAUGUGAUUUUUCAACCAACUUUGGUGCACGAGAGCAUGUGCUUGUAGUUCAAAUUUGACUUAUGCACAUUAAAUGACCAGAAACUCAAUUAAUGUAUAAAAACGACAAACGAACCCGGAAUAAUUCCAAAAUUUAACAGGGCACUAAUGUAAUUCUAUAUUGCCUUUGUUAAUAAACUCAAGGGGGGCAGCGUAUAUCGUUUCACACUCAAAGGUGGCACGUUCCCUCUUAGAACCACGAGCUUCCAAAUCGGCCCAAUUUUUUACCACAACAUGUUAGUGCCAUGACAUGACACCAUGCCAAGUUUCAUGAUUUCCCGGCGAGUUUUGGAUUUACAUGAAUUUAAAAUCAAAGUUUCUCGAUGUUCUCGGCCGAGUCAUGACGCCCAGAUGUUUGAAUUUCAUUCUCAUUUCUUCCAUGGGACCUAGAAAUUCAACCAAGGACACACAUGUGAUUUUUCAACCCACUUUGGUGCACCGGAGCAUGUGCAUGCAAUUCAUAUUUAUAUUAUGCACAUUAAAAGUCCAGAAACUCAAUUAAUGUAUAAAAAGGCCAAAUGAACCUGAAAUAAUUCCAAAAUUUAACAGGGCACUCAUAUAGUUCUAUGUUGCCUCUGUAAAUAAAAUCAGGGGGAGGCAGCGUAUAUCGUUUCGCACACAAAGGUGACACGUUCCCUCUCGGAACCACGAGGCUUGUUGAGAGAAUCUCCGGUUUUGCAAGAGGCUUAUACCAAAACUUGUCCCAAUUCAGCCAAAAAAUAUACGUAUGAAAACAGGGUUUUGAUUAUCCCAAACAUCUCGCUACCUAGACCAAUAAUGUACUAUGAUUUGAAUUCAACAUAAAAUGGAUACAAAUAUUUGAAUUGGAGAGCGUAUGGUACAUGUAGUUCAUAGUGAAAUAUGAUUACUGCUAUAUGUAUGUUUUCUGUUAUCAAGAUAAUAUUUAAAUUAUUGUAUAACUUGACAACAAUCGUAUUCAAAUGAGGAAAAUUGAUUCAAAUUUAGUCCAUAUGGUAGACGACAAUAUAUAUGUUCACAUGGUGGAGUAAAAUGUUCAUAUAUGAUGGAAGAUCAUAAUGUACGACUACAUCAAUUAUAAACCGCAAGGUCACCUAACGAUAUAUUCGAAUUCAACAUAACGUGGAUUCAAAAAUUGAAAUUCGAGAUCAUGGCAUAUGUAAUCAUAUAAAAAGGGACAAUACUCUUUCUUUGGUGGGAAUUGAUUUGUUUUUUGUUGUUGUUGAGGGAAGUGCGAAUCAAUUUGGUACUGUGCAGGGUAAUCUUGUUCUCCCAAUUUUUUUUACAUUUUCUUGUAGUUUUUUCAAUGGCAUCUAUAGCAAUAUAGUAAAAGGGGACAUGACUCUCUUGUGUCUUGUAUGAAUUGUUUUUUUACACGUUAAGUUUGUUCUGCCGAACAAGGAAUCCGCACCUUGUUAUCCCAAAUUUUUCAAGCUCGAGUAUCUUUUGUCUCACCUGCUUUGAAACUCCCGCUUCUUCAACCCGCGCCGCGCCUUGUUAUCCUGAAAUUUGGACGCGCGCGAGAACUCCCUCCUCAUCCAAAAUCGCUCCCGCAGCCCAGACACGCGAAAUCCCCCUUCUACCCCUCAGCCGGAAAUGAAGCUCCACGUCGCGGUGUCAAAACCGGUGGGGGUACGCUGGUAACUUACCCUACAUUUCAGACAAGCGCGUCCCUAAGCUUGGCUCCCCCUCCCCCUUCGCCCCCCCAUUCGUACACCGAGGCCGCCAAAACCCGCGAAACCCCACGCUCCUCCGUCGGCCUCCCGACCGCCGCCCAACCGGAGACUCUUCCCCGACUACGUCGUCCACCGCAACAGCUCGCCGUCCCUCAUCCACCGCACUGGAUGAGGAUCCGUUGUCGAUCUCGUCGUCCCGCCGGAUCAGCCGCCCCGUCCUCCACCUCCAAGGAGCUUCCCCGACGUUCGCCUCGUCUAUCGCGCCACCUCAAUCCCCACAGCGCCGUCUUGACCUGCCCCACCGGAACCGCAGCACCCUCACCAAUUCCUCCGAUGAAGCCGAGGCCAACUCGGCGCCACCAAGGAGGUUCUACACUCACCGCUGCAUUUUAUCUGUUAUUCGAUCUCACGGGGCUGCCGGUGCUCGAUACCGAGCAGACAUGGCGUGUCUCCAUCGACGGCGCCGUCGCCGGCCACAUCAUCCACGGCGUCUCUCCCCCAUGUCGUUGCUUCCUCGGUGGCGACUUCCACAACGGCACUAGCUGCAGCUGCUCCGGCUCUCGCUCGCGCUGCGGCUCUGUUCUUGCUGUCGGUCGCGCUGCUGCACUGCUCCUGCUUUCGUUCGUGCUGCUGCUCUGCUCUUGCUCUCGCUUGCGCUGCUGCUGCUACUGCACGACCUCCGGCAGCUACAAGAGUUGCUGCUUUAGCACUCGCUCGCGGUGCUACUGCACGACUUGCUCUGCUAGUGCGUUCCCUGCUCGAGCGUCUGCUGAUUUAGAUCACUGCUUCUCUGCUACUAGUGCUCGAACGCCCUAAACAUCUAUUGCAAUGCUCUAUUACUAGUUCAAUCAGUUUCGACAGUAAAAUUCAGUUUCGACUGUGAAGUUCAUUUCUUCAGUUAAGUUCAGAGUGAACAGUACUUACAGCAUCUGUCGGAGCAGCCGUGGCGCGGCUGAUGCGUUUUACAUCUAGCACUUUUUGGUGAUGUAUUUUACAUCAUCUAUUGCAGAUGAUAUUAGGGUCCCACUUCAGAUUAACGUUGUCUGUCUUGUCAUGCUUCAGCCUCGUCGCCGUACACCUUAGCGGAGCUGCUCCAAUGACAGAACCGUCCAUCACAGCGGAGCAGUACCCUCGGCGUCGUUUCCAGAGGCCUCGGAUCUUCUUCCCCGCCUCCGACAGUCACACCAGCAUCAUCACCAUCCUCCACGUCCAACCCAAUGAUGCUGAGGUCCACAAGGCUAUGCCAAAGAGGUUGUACACUCGUCGCAUCAGUUUGUUUCUCCAUUCCUCUGCUCUUCCAAUUCAUGUGAGCCAAACACCCAGGUUGAUUGAAAUCCUAUGUUUCCAAAUGCUCUGUUUUGCACGUGCAUUCCUAUCCUAUUCCUGUGUUUUUCCUGUCCCUGCGUUUAUAGAAUCCUCCAAUUCUAAGGAGCCCUUACAGAUUUACUUCAUUUUCACAUAGGCGUCAAAGAAAACUCUGUGUGUUAUGUCCUGCUCCUGCCGUGCUGUCAUCCACCCCACCUGAGGUGCACCAUCGACAGAAGCGUUCACUGCAGCAGAGAUCCCCCCUGCAGACUUCCUUUCGCCGACUCAGAUCAUCUUCCCCGUUGCCGGCAGCCACGCCAAUUGCAUUACCAUCAUCGACUGAGCAGAUGAACCUGAGGACUACACAGUUCCGGAAGAGAGGUCGCAGUCUUUCGUGUUUGCUUACGUUAUACAUCUGUUAUUAUUACCUGCUACUUUAUCGUUCAAUCUUGAGUUUUGAAUUGCCCAUGGGUCUCAUAUCGAGCCAGCAACAAAUAGUAUCUGUCUACUAUCUAGUUCAUCUGGGGUCUUCUAUGUGGUUCAUGUUGGGUGGGCAACAAACAAUAGAUGAUCCAUUGUCUAUCUUUUUAAACUGAAGCUAUAAUCUACCUACUAUCAUUAGUUUUGGAUCCAUCCACUCGUUUGCUACCAUCAGUCUUGAUUUUUGCAUGCACCGCUUAUGCAUGUCAGAUAUUGUACACAAUCGUACUGAACAUGUAGAGAAAAAGAGAAGACCGUUGCGUGCGAAUAUAAUGUCAUGCAGACGCCGCUCCAUGGUGGGCGAAGUGCCCCCCCCCCUCCUGCAUUUCCAGAUUGUAUUCCAGAGGAAGAUAACUAUUCAGAUGGAGAUUCAGAAGGAGCCGACCACGCCUGUUUACCACCUGAGGUGUUUGCUCUAACCUGGCAUGCUGAUGUUGGUCAUAUCAUGCAUAUGGCGCCUUGCAUUGCUUACAUUAUACAUCUUAUAUCAGCUUAGUUUAGAUUUGCUUUGUGUGAAUGCCACCUGUUUGGUUUCUAUAUCAUACUCCCACCAUUCCUAAAUAUUUGUCUUUUUAGAGAUUUCAACAAGUGACUACAUACGGAACAAAAUGAGUGAAUCUACACUCCAAAAUAUGUCUAUAUAUAUCUGUAUGUGGUAGUCCAUUUGAAAUCUCUAAAAAGACAAAUAUUUAGGAAGGGAGGGAGUAUAUGGGAAUUAUGCAAUGCCAUCUUCUUUAGCCAGGCAUCAUAUAUGUGAAUCAUGCAAUGGCAUCCUGUUUAGCCAGUCAUCGUAUAUGUGAAUUGUAUUGUGCCAUAUUUUUUUCCAUAAUGUAUUCCAUUUGUCAACAAUGUUUAUACAUUCAUCUACUCUUCCUGUGCAUCAGCCAUUUGAGUCGGUCAUGGGAAAAUCUGGAGUCAAACAAGGUCUUCUGAGCAGUCAGUNNNNNNNNNNNNNNNNNNNNNNNNNNNNNNNNNNNNNNNNNNNNNNNNNNNNNNNNNNNNNNNNNNNNNNNNNNNNNNNNNNNNNNNNNNNNNNNNNNNNNNNNNNNNNNNNNNNNNNNNNNNNNNNNNNNNNNNNNNNNNNNNNNNNNNNNNNNNNNNNNNNNNNNNNNNNNNNNNNNNNNNNNNNNNNNNNNNNNACUUGGCUGGGUUAUAUUGCUCAUAUCAUGCAUAUGGUGUCUUGCAUUGCCAUGCCAUCUGCUUAGAUUAGACAUGCUUUGUGUGAAUGCCUACUGUUUGCUUUCUAUAUCAGAUAUGUGAAUUAUGCAAUGCCAUGUUUUUCAGCCAGUUAUCAUAUAUGUGAAUUAUGCACCGCCAUGGAGCCAGGCAUCAUAUAUGUGAAUUAUCUCAUGCCAUCUUUUUUUCAUUAUGUAUUCCAUUUGUCGACAAUCUGUGUAUAUUGAACUACUCUUCAUGUGUAUCAGCCAUUUGAGCCGGUUAUGGAAAAAUCUAGAGUGAAAACAAGGUCUUCAGAGCAGACAAUGGUACCUGUUGAAGCAUAUAUCUCGAUGGUUACAGGGAGCUCCUCAGAGGAGGAUUCAGAGACAGAUGACCAGUCUUAUAUCCCACCUGAGGUGUAUGCUCUAAGUUGCAAUGUUUAUAUUUCUCAUAUGAUGCAUAUGGUGUCUUGCAUUGCUUAGUUUAGACAUCAUAUGCACAAUAUUGAAUUCUAUUUGCUUAGUUUAGAGAUCAUACAUGCGAGUGCCAGCUGCUUAGUAUAUGAAUCAAUUAUGUCAAUUAUAUCAUGCCAUCCUGUAUACUUAGACAACAUGUAUGCGAAUUAUUUCAUCCCAACCUAUUUUAGAAAGACAUCAUAUAGUUUUGUCAUGUCAUCCUGUUUAGGUACUCAUCAUAUGUUGAAUUAUGCCAUUAUAUCCUGUUAAGUUAUCCAUCAUAUAUCUGAAACUGUGUCAUGCUAUCCUGUUUAGUUAGGCAUCAUAUAUGUGAAAUUGUGUCAUGUUGUCCUGUUUGGUUAGACAACAUAUAUGUGAAUUACCACAUCUGUCUAUCAUACAAUGUCUGUACGUUCAAUUUCUUUUCUUGUUUAUCAGCCAUUUGAAUUGGAGGGAGUGAUGGCAGUAUCUAAGGGAGCAAAAACCCGUUCUUCACAAAAGACAGUGCUACCCGUCGAUGCAGAUAGAACCAUGGUUGUACUGGCCCACAAACUAGCCCCACCACACAUAAUCGAGACUCUUCCAGAUUGCACACUUACACUGUUGGGCGGAGAACCAGCUACAACCCAUCUAACCGCAACCCCAGCGGAUAGUAACCCACUUAUAGUUGACAAAGCACCAUGUCCACCACAGAGUACCCCCACACGAGCAGUUUGUAAAGCUACUGCAGUGCCCAAAGCACGAAGACCACCACAGCUAACCCAAACUCCACGUUUAAAGCAGAAGAGCAACUGUUCUCAGGUCAGAUUCCAUAGCUAUGGUCCAUACUCCUUUGCUGUUGCAUCACUGUAUUUACUCAUACCAACUACUUUCGAAUUUGAAGGAUCCAAUUGAAACUCCAAUGGCGCAACAGGUAUGUUUUAAACCUAUUUCUUUAACUGGAUUGUUGUUCUAACUUCUUGCUCUAUGUUGAUUUCAGUUUAAGUUGUAUAAACAGUUAUGUUCUCAUGUGAUGCACAUUACAAGUGCUGCCAAUGCUGUGUAGUUUCUCACACUUAUAUUCUGUCUAUGCUGCUGUGUCUUAAAAAUAUAUGAGUUGAACUGUGUCUCUAUCUUGAUUAGGGAACAUAAACUAGAAUGAUAUGGACAAUACAGUGACCAUAGUACAUAGAUAUAUGUUUGUUUCAUGCUGUUAUCCUGUCCACCUUACUACUGAACCGGUUUACCAAAAUGAGUUUCGUAUACUACAAGCUAAACUUGUGAUGUGUCUGCUUGUUUCUCUUGUAGUAUGCAAACAUAAUAUUGGAGAAGAGCACCCCACUAUGCAAUGGUAGAGAAAGUAAUGCAGAUAAGGUUCAAGAUAGUGAGACAACCCUGUUGAUCUCCAAGAAAGGUGAUAAAAACAAUCUUGUAGACAGUGAGAAAACCCCACAGUCCUGCGUUGAUGUAGUGUUCGAGUUACUGGCCAGUACCGCUGGCACAAGCUCUUCGAACUCGCUGUCUGAAUCACUUCGGCUUCUUCAGUCUCAGCUACAACCUGAAAGGCAUCAGUCAGCUGUGCUGCGGCAAGAAGCCGAAGGACUGAGGAAGUCCCUGCAGAAUUCAGAUGCGUACUUUCUUGUGCAACAGCAAGCGCUGGAGGAUUUAAGCGCCAAACAAGAGAAAGUUAAUAAGCUUGCUAAGCAUCUUGCCAGCAUUAUGGGUACCCAGGAUAUUGUUUCUUGAACUCUUCUGAAGUGGUUUCAGUUCUGGACUUGUUUUGCUGCGGUGUUUAUAUGUUGCUUUGUUCCCUAUAUUUUCACUCGUGGCGAACUUUGAUGCCUAGUGGAUGUAAUAUGUGUAAUAGCCUAGAUAGCCUAGCAUAAGUUGCUUGCUUAUUUAUUUCCUUGUUGUCUUGUUUAUUUGUUUGCUUGUAGUCAGUGCAGUUCUUUUUCCGCGGUUUGCUAGUGGCUGCAAUAACCUAUUUUUUAAAACUAGGCCACAAUAACCAUGGGCUAAUAUUUACUAUAGUGACACUGGGCCUCCUACGGGCCGUAGAAACAGUGGGCCUUCUAUGGGCCGUAGAAACAGUAGGCCUUCUACGGGCCGUAUAAACAAUGGGCCUUCUACGGGCCGUAGAAACAAUGGGCCUUCUAUGGGUCGUAUCAUCAAUGGGCCUUAUACGGGCCGUAUGAUCGAUUGGCCAAACAUGGGCCAAUAACAGGCCACAUUAUGGCCGUAAACGGGCUAGAGUUGGAAUCGUCCGUUCAUGGGCCGACCAUAACGGGCCAUCAUUAAUAGGCCGUAUUUGAUGACGCUAUGAAAACGGCCCAACGUAUUAACGGACCACAAACGGGCCGACUGUAACCACGGGCUGAAUUUGGCCCACAAGCAGAAAAUGACAGUACACGGGCCGUAAGUAAACGAAUGCUGGAAAUGAGCCCAAGAAUAAAUGGGCUCUGAGAAGGCCGAAAGAUAACAUGGGCUAGAAACGGCCCAACGGAAUAACGGGCCGUUAAUGGGUAUAAAGUGAUACACUGUUCAUUACAGGCCAGUUUCACCACGGGCCAUUAAUGGUUAUAAAGUGAUACACUGUUCAUUACGGGCCAGUUUCACCACGGGCCGUUAAUGGGUGUAAAGUGAUACACUGUUCAUUAUGGGCCAGUUUCAACAUGGGCCGUUAAUAGGCCAAGAGUUACAUAGGGCCUCAUAUGGGCCGAAAGACGUCAUGGGCCAUACAUGGUCCAGAAGUGAAAACGGGUUGGAAUCAUAUUGGAUGGCCCAGAUGACGCUACUGGGCCUAAUUCGGAUAGGGCGUAACGGGCCUCGGGUUAGCGGGCUGUAAAUGGGCUAUAUGCGAACAGGCCGUUAACAGGCUUUCCAUGGGCCGGCCCACCACCUUUUGACCAAGUCAAACGGGCCGGCCUUUUCACAGGAAUGGGCCUCUGUUGGGCCGUGCCACGUGUUGACGUAUCAUAGGCGCCUUCCGUCCAAUGAGUGGAUGACAUCUGUCCCAACGAUGAGCCGACACGUGUUUCCUCCAGCCAAUGAUGAUUUUACACGCGGAAAAUCCCCAUUGGUCGGGGUUGUUAACGGGUUAUCGGAUCCAAAACCCGACCCGAUAGCUUAACGGCGUUCCAUUACGGUGGAUGCCACGUGUCGGUCACGACGAAAGCACUUCUGUGACGCGCGAUUUAUCGUCAUGGAAGUGGACACUUCCGUGAUGAUAAUUUUGGCAAUGUCAUGGAGCACUUCUACAACAGCACAGGUAUGACUAUCUUGAUUCUGUCAUAAAUUUUUCAUGGAUGUACAUGCAUGACAGAAAACGCGACCUACUGUGACAAACACGCAUCAUCACGGAAGUCUAUUUUUUGUAGUGCCUAGGGGAGUCGACGAAAUAUUCAUCCAGCCGCCGCAGAGUCCAAAACCACCAGAUCCAAUCAAGACACCAUCUCGGAUGGGGUUCACCACCUCCAUUGGUGCCUCUUCGAUGAUGCGUGAGUAGUUCUUUGUAGACCUUCGGGUCCGUAGUUAGUAGCUAGAUGGCUUCCUCUCUCUCGCUGAAUUCUCAAUACAAUGGUCUCUUGGAGAUCCAUAUGAUGUAACUCUUUUUGCGGUGUGUUUGUUGGGAUCUGAUGAACUUUGAGUUUAUGAUCAGUCAUAUCUUUUUAUAUCCAUGAAAGUUAUUUGAGUUUCUUUGAUCUCUUAUAUGCAUGAUCUCUUAUAGCCUCGUAUUUCUUCUCCGAUAUUUGGGUUUUGUUUGGCCAAUUUGAUCUAUUUAUCUUGCAAUGGGAAGAGGGUUCCGGUAGUGGGUUCGAUCUUACGGUGCUUGAUCCCAGUGACAGAAAGGGAAACGACACGUAUGUAUCGUUGCUACUAAGGAUAAAAAUAUGGGAUCUAUAUCUACGCAAUAGAUAAACGGAUCUUGUCUACAUCAUGUCAUCGUUCUUAUUGCAUUACUCCGUUUUUCCAUGAACUUAAUACACUAGAUGCAUACUGGAUAGCGGUCGAUGUGUGGAGUAAUAGUAGUAGAUGCAGGCAGGAGUCGGUCUACUAAUCUUGGACGUGAUGCCUAUGUAAUGAUCAUUGCCUGGAUAUCGUCAUAAUUAUUUGAGGUUCUAUCAAUUGCCCAACAGUAAUUUGUUUACCCACCGUUUGCUAUUUUUCUCGAGAGAAGCCACUAGUGAAACCUACGGCCCCCGGGUCUUCUUUCUCAUAUAUUUGCUUUGCGAUCUACUUUUCCUUUGCAUUUUUAUUCAGAUCUAUUAAACCAAAAAUAAAAAAA